UACGGAGGGGGCUAGCGUUGUUCGGAAUUACUGGGCGUAAAGCGCACGUAGGCGGCUUUGUAAGUUAGAGGUGAAAGCCCAGGGCUCAACCCUGGAAUUGCCUUUAAGACUGCAUCGCUAGAAUUGUGGAGAGGUAAGUGGAAUUCCGAGUGUAGAGGUGAAAUUCGUAGAUAUUCGGAAGAACACCAGUGGCGAAGGCGACUCACUGGACAAGUAUUGACGCUGAGGUGCGAAAGCGUGGGGAGCAAACAGG
rnacentral:rRNA from 1 species